GGCCCAAAUUUAAAGUAUAGUAGAUUAGUAGGACCGGCUGACUCUUCUGAACUACUCUACUUCGAGUUUGUGCCU
rnacentral:pre_miRNA from 1 species